CCUACGGGAGGCUGCAGUGGGGAAUAUUGCACAAUGGGGGAAACCCUGAUGCAGCAACGCCGCGUGCGUGAGGAAGUAUCUCGGUAUGUAAAGCUCUAUCAGCAGGGAAUAGAAAAGAAGGUACCUGACUAAGAAGCCCCUGCCAACUACGUGCCAGCAGCCGCGGUAAUACGUAGGGGGCAAGCGUUAUCCGGAUUUACUGGGUUUAAAGGGAGUGUAGGCGGUUUAGCAAGUCAGAAGUGAAAGCCCGGGGCUCAACUUCGGGACUGCUUUUGACACUGUUGAACUAGAUUGCAGGAGAGGUAGGCGGAAUGCCUAGUGUAGCGGUGAAAUGCGUAGAGAUUAGGAGGAACACCAGUGGCGAAGGCGGCUUACUGGACUGUAAAUGACGCUGAGGCUCGAAAGCGUGGGGAGCAAACAGGAUUAGAUACCCCUGUAGUC
rnacentral:rRNA from 1 species